rnacentral:rRNA from 1 species
GACGUAGGGUGCAAGCGUUGUCCGGAUUUAUUGGGUUUAAAGGGUGCGUAGGCGGUCAUGUAAGUCAGUGCUGAAAUAUCCCGGCUUAACCGGGAGGGUGGCAUUGAUACUGUAUGACUUGAGUAAAGUUGAGGUUGGCGGAAUUGACGGUGUAGCGGUGAAAUGCUUAGAUAUCGUCAAGAACACCUAUUGCGAAGGCAGCUAACUAAGCUUUAACUGACGCUGAGGCACGAAAGUGUGGGGAUCAAACAGG